rnacentral:lncRNA from 1 species
UCGAAACGAACACUCAGAAGCUAGGGUUUUUGUAUUCCUCCUAAAAUCACAACAAUCAAACCAAACACAGAUCGGAUCGAAGAUGUUUCCAGGAAUGUUCAUGCGAAAACCCGACAAAGAAGCCGCUCUGAAGCAGCUUCGUGUGCACGUUGCCUUGUUCGGGGGGUGGGUUGCAGCUAUUCGGGUCGCUCCAUAUGUACUCCAUUACUUUUCUGGCAGCAAAGACGAGCUUGUUCUUGAUAUUUAGAGAUUUUGAUGUGAUAAGGCUGUGUGGAACAAGUGUGGUUUGAUGACAAAACUCAUGGGUCAUUUUAAUUUUUUAUGAAGUUAUGUUAUGUUUCAAUUUAGGAAAGUACAUUUCUGCUACUACAUUUUAUAAAUUUGCUCCCUGAACAUCUGUCAUCAAAUUAUAUAAGCUUCGCUCAAGUGGCAUGUGCAUCUUUGGCUGAAACUUUAUGUCGUGCAUGUUUGAUACUGUCAAAACUGAUUGUCGAGGAACGAACUUGAUGUGUGACGAUUAACUAAACUCGUUGUGUUCAUCAUCCCUUUAAGUCUUAGUAAUAUUUGUUCAUAAACUGUAGAACAAUUUUUUAACCCACAUAAUCCUGACUCGUAGAACUGGAAUGGAGUUUUUCAAGAUUUUGUCAUCUAAACUUCUAAAGCCAUGUUGAAAUUUUUAUAUGGAUUUUGGUGCUUUUACCACAAAGAAUAUCAAGUUAUCAUUUUUCUAGCCAUGGUUUCAAAGAAUGGAAUGAGACUCGAGGCGUAAGCCUGAU